rnacentral:lncRNA from 1 species
AACAGGAUAAAAGAUAAAGAACAUUAAUGCAAGAGACACAAGCAAUUGUUAACCCAGUUCGAUGCAAACUCACCUACGUCUGGGGGCUACCAAGCCAGGAAGGAAAUCCACUAAAUAGAAUCAGUUCAAAGACUCUCAGUAAACAACUUCAAGUUACAGUCUUUUCACCUAAUCUCUACCCAUGUGACUUCUACCUAAGAACUCUUAGAUAUGAUAUCUUACUCACUCCCCCUCAAUCACAACAUUGAUAUAAAACAAGAGUUACUAUGAAAAAAGACACUCUUCAAAGACACAUACUUGAUCUUACUUAAAAGCUUCAAUUAAGUAAACACACACUCAUGCUUCAAAGCUUAGAGUGACAAAUUACAACUAAAAAAUCAGANUUUUCACCUAAUCUCUACCCGUGUGACUUCUACCUAAGAACUCUUAGAUAUGAGAUCCUAC